GACGAACCGUGCAAACGUUGUUCGGAAUCACUGGGCUUAAAGGGCGCGUAGGCGGCCACCGCAAGUCGACUGUGAAAUCUCCGGGCUUAACUCGGAAAGGUCAGCCGAUACUGCGGGGCUAGAGUGCAGAAGGGGCAACUGGAAUUCUCGGUGUAGCGGUGAAAUGCGUAGAUAUCGAGAGGAACACCUGCGGCGAAGGCGGGUUGCUGGGCUGACACUGACGCUGAUUGUGCGAAAGCUAGGGGAGCGAACGGG
rnacentral:rRNA from 1 species